rfam:Carboxydothermus hydrogenoformans Z-2901, complete genome.
UGUCGAUAAAGGCAAAACCGGCGAAAGCCGGUGACGCAAAGCUACAGGGGCUAAAGCGAAUUUUCGCCAUGCCAGCCAGCUGCCGAA